AAAAAAAAAAAAAAAAAAAAAAAAAAGCAUUAUAUAUUCUUUUGUCGGGGGAAAUAAAAUAUAUAUAUAUAAAAAAAGAAGCACCACAAACUUAAAAAUAUACCCCGAGCCUAUCUCCAAAUCUCCACCUCCAUCCUCAUUGUUUGACGUGUAUUCCUGUCUAAACGUUUUUAUAAGGUCCCCUAGACACAUUUUCCAUGCCCUCUACAUAUGUAUACACUCAUAUAUACACACCACUACUUGAGUAUCACUCUAUUAUCCCCAAAUCUUUCAAGUUUUCCCCUACACACAUGCACACAGACAAGCGCACACACUCCUUUUUAUUAAAUAUCGCACACGAGCGAACACACACACACAAAGAAAAAAAGGAAGUAAAGGAAGGGAAAAUAGUAAAAGUUUACUCAACCCGCUACUUAAAUACAAAUUACGAAAACAUAAAACUUAACUUAUGAAGAUUCAACAGCCAUAAAAAAGUAGCCUGCAAGAAAUUGGAGGAGGAUGGUAACAGAGACUUCAAAGGCACAUGGCCAAGCAGAGCAAUAAAAAUUUAUGGAGGAUGUAAUUAUACCGCUCUGCAAACAGGCGAUCGUAAAUCUCCACGAAUGGUUAUUUUACAACUGGUGCAAUAAGAUUUCUACAAGACUUUGAGGUGCUACUUAGUAUAAAGCAAAGCCACUUUAGUUCACUUACCCGUGCUUACAUGGACUUUUUUCAUCCAGGGGUAAACUACCGGCUCUUUGCAAGAGGAAUUGGAAGGGCUUUGGUUCAGAGAGUUUUGGCUGCAGGAGGGUGGUGGGCUGGGGGUGACCGGCUCGCAGGGAUGGUUUGGCUCAGAGAGGUGGCUUUGCAGUCCGGCAGGAGGAUGGACAUGACCCCGGGGGGAUAACACCGCUGCUUGGUGGCCGGAGCUCUGACAGGACGAGUAGAGCUGCUCGUUGCAGGCUGACCGCGGCUGGUACAUCGCUUCAUGUUGGAAAGUGCUCUCUCGCCUCUGGCUGCUGUAAUAUUCCGGCGAGUGAUUGGGAAGGUAAUCGCUGUGGGAAUACUCUUCACAGGGUGGGAACUUGGGGUCCACAUAGUUGGAGUUGCAUGUGACAGCACGGGCCAAUGGCGAUGUGGCCUGCGAUCCCCGGAUAAGGAAAUCUGCCCAGCACGGGCUCUCCCGGGGCCCGGAGCAUCCCCGGGGAGGCGGCCGGGGGCGCCCGCUCCCCUCCGGCUGCCCCGGCCCCGGCCCCGGCCCGGCGCCGCCGGGCCCCGCAGGCCCCCGCCAGCCUCGGACUCGGCAGCGCCCCGCGGGCGAGAACCGACCCCCCCGGCCCACACCCCUCGGGGGUGUGUCCUGGCUCGGGGCGGGGGUGGCCGACGGAAGGGGGUGGAAAACAAAAAAAAAAUUACCCCAAAAGAAAAAAAAAUAAGAGAGAGAGGGGGCAAAAGUAUUUUCAAAUGUUUGGGGGCUGCCGCUCACAGUCGCUGCCCCAGCACAUGA
rnacentral:lncRNA from 1 species